UUCACAGUGAUCCUGUGCUCGGGUUUUGGCUGCCUGGGAGUGCAUGGGACGACGUCGAGUGAGAGGGGUUUGAUCACCAUCACCCUUACUAGGGGAAAUUUCAUCCGGAGGCUUGGGUUUAUUAUCCAAUUGAAACGAGUAGCUCAACAGAUUAAGUCACUGGGGAAAUAGAUUGGGGAUGUCAGAAUCUUAAAUCAUCACUUCUUUCCUAGGUUUUCCAUAGAUUCUCCAUGCUGCAUAAUUUUAUAUAUUUGCUUUGUGUUUCCUAAUUGUCUUGCUGUAAGCUAAAAGGUUACUAUGUUUCAAGCUUUUCUUGGCUUUCUCAUUGAUUUUUGUUUCGUUUCAGCUCUUGUUGUUGGAGUGAAGUCUUGGAUUCGAGUUUAUAGAUUUGAUUUUAUCUGUCUUUUUAGUUUUCUGCUUUGAGUCCUAGCCAGCUACGGUAGUGAUUACUAUGUGUAACAGGUGCCCGUUUUGGUUUAUAGGGAUUUCUAAAUUCAUAUUCAAUGUUCACAAGUGUUUAUCGCUAGGCACACAUUCAGAUUUGACGAACAUUACAGUGUUGCUCCUCAUUUAUGAUUCUAUUCUAGUCAGUUACAACGUUUUUCUC